rnacentral:misc_RNA from 1 species
GAUGAAGAACAUAGCGAACUGCGAUAAGUAAUGUGAAUUGCAGAAUUCAGUGAAUCAUCGAGUCUUUGAACGCACAUUGCGCCCCCUGGCAUUCCGGGGGGCAUGCCUGUCCGAGCGUCAUUGCUGCCCUUCAAGCCCGGCUUGUGUGUUGGGUCGUCGUCCCCCCCGGGGGACGGGCCCGAAAGGCAGCGGCGGCACCGCGUCCGGUCCUCGAGCGUAUGGGGCUUUGUCACCCGCUCGAUUAGGGCCGGCCGGGCGCCAGCCGGCGUCUCCAACCUUCUAUUUUACCAGGUUGACCUCGGAUCAGGUAGGGAUACCCGCUGAACUUAAGCAUAUCAAUAAGCGGAGGA